CCCUUAGAUGUUCUGGGCCGCACGCGUGCUACACUGAAGGAAUCAGCACGUCUUUCUCCUUGUCCGAAAGGACUGGGUAACCCGCUGAACCUCCUUCGUGCUAGGGAUUGGGGCUUGUAAUUCUUCCCCAUGAACGAGGAAUUCCCAGUAAGCGCGAGUCAUAAGCUCGCGUUGAUUACGUCCCUGCCCUUUGUACACACCGCCCGUCGCUACUACCGAUUGGAUGGUUUAGUGAGAUCCUCGGAUUGGUCCCGGCGCGGCCUCUGGUCGUGCCGGAGUGCCGAAAAGAAUGUCGAACUUGAUCAUCUAGAGGAAGUAAAAGUCGUAACA
rnacentral:rRNA from 1 species